GAUGAAGAACGCAGCGAAAUGCGAUAAGUAAUGUGAAUUGCAGAAUUCAGUGAAUCAUCGAAUCUUUGAACGCACAUUGCGCCCGCCAGUAUUCUGGCGGGCAUGCCUGUUCGAGCGUCAUUACAACCCUCAGGCCUCCGGGCCUGGCGUUGGGGAUCGGCGGAGCCCCCCGUGGGCACACGCCGUCCCCCAAAUACAGUGGCGGUCCCGCCGCAGCUUCCAUUGCGUAGUAGCUAACACCUCGCAACUGGAGAGCGGCGCGGCCACGCCGUAAAACACCCAACUUCUGAAUGUUGACCUCGAAUCAGGUAGGAAUACCCGCUGAACUUAAGCAUAUCAAUAAGCGGAGGA
rnacentral:misc_RNA from 1 species